UCGUUCGAUUUGAACCGGAUGAACCCCGGCCCCAGGUGUAUAUUCUGGUUCGGUGUCGUGUACCGAGUCGUUAGUCGCUUCUGAGUGAGGCCGUGGGUAGUUGUAGAAUGAUAAGUUGAUGGACUUGACUCGUUCUAAGAGGGAAGGGGAUCUGGCAAGAGGUCGGAUUUGCUCUUGCUCUUGCUUUCUUCUGUUGGAACCGAAACGGGAGGUGAGGGCAAUGGUGCCGAUUACCAGAUUAAGCAACAAGAAUAGAUAAGCGGGUGUAAACCAGCCGGUGAUGAAACCCCACAUCGAAGCUGGCGAUGCUGCUGCGUCUGCCAUGGUUUUUGUGGAGUUGUGACUGUUACAAUUUACAAGCACUGAAGAGAGCAGACAAAGGAAAAAGAAAUGGC
rnacentral:misc_RNA from 1 species